rnacentral:siRNA from 1 species
AGGGAUAGUCAUUGGUGAGCUU